rnacentral:misc_RNA from 1 species
UCCGAGUUGUCCCCGGCAGUCCCCUUAGAGUCCCCGGCAUUACCCGCUGGCAACAUAGGGCAAGGGUUGCGCUCGUUACGGGACUUAACCCAACAUCUCACGACACGAGCUGACGACAGCCAUGCAGCACCUGUCACCUGGUUCCCGAAGGCACACCCGUAUCUCUACAGGCUUCCAGGGAUGUCAAGAGUAGGUAAGGUUCUUCGCGUUGCGUCGAAUUAAACCACAUGCUCCACCGCUUGUGCGGGCCUCCGUCAAUUCCUUUGAGUUUUAGCCUUGCGGCCGUACUCCCCAGGCGGAGUGCUUAACGCGUUAACUGCGACACUGAGAGGCAAGCCCCCCAACGUCUGGCACUCAUCGUUUACGGCGUGGACUAC